UGAUCCUUAGGCGAAACCCCGAGAGCAAUUUCAAGCACGAUUUUCUCCACGUAUGUGGAGG
rnacentral:sRNA from 1 species